UACGUAUGGUGCAAGCGUUAUCCGGAUUUACUGGGUGUAAAGGGAGCGUAGACGGCUGUGUAAGUCUGAAGUGAAAGCCCGGGGCUCAACCCCGGGACUGCUUUGGAAACUAUGCAGCUAGAGUGUCGGAGAGGUAAGUGGAAUUCCCAGUGUAGCGGUGAAAUGCGUAGAUAUUGGGAGGAACACCAGUGGCGAAGGCAGCUUACUGGACGAUGACUGACGUUGAGGCUCGAAAGCGUGGGGAGCAAACAGG
rnacentral:rRNA from 1 species